AUUGAACGCUGGCGGCAUGCCUUACACAUGCAAGUCGAACGGCAGCACGGGUGCUUGCACCUGGUGGCGAGUGGCGAACGGGUGAGUAAUACAUCGGAACGUACCUUAUCGUGGGGGAUAACGCAGCGAAAGCUGUGCUAAUACCGCAUACGCCCUGAGGGGGAAAGCGGGGGAUCGAAAGACCUCGCGCGAUUAGAGCGGCCGAUGCCUGAUUAGCGUGUUGGUGGGGUAAAAGCCCACCAAGGCGACGAUCAGUAGCUGGUCUGAGAGGACGAUCAGCCACACGGGGACUGAGACACGGCCCAGACUCCUACGGGAGGCAGCAGUGGGGAAUUUUGGACAAUGGGGGCAACCCUGAUCCAGCAAUGCCGCGUGAGUGAAGAAGGCCUUCGGGUUGUAAAGCUCUUUUGUCAGGGAAGAAACACCGGCUCUAACACAGUCCGGGAAUGACGGUACCUGAAGAAUAAGCACCGGCUAACUACGUGCCAGCAGCCGCGGUAA
rnacentral:rRNA from 1 species